GUGAAUCCAUCUGGUCCUGGACUCUUUUUGAUUGAUGCUGUGGGGACCUGUUAGCAUCUUCUGUGUCAUCUCAUCCUCAUGGCAACCUUGUAAGGAAGAAGCCAACUUCAGGACAUUAAGCUACCAUAAGAAAAGAAACAGGAGGAUUCUCUUCUUUUGGAUCGUAUGGUACAGAUGCCGUGUGAAUGCCUAAUGAGUGGGAUCUGAACACAACUCUGCUAAUAAGGAAGUCUCCAAAAUGUAGUUCCUAGCUGUCCAGUUCCUGUGAUUCUUGAACAGUUGUUGAAGAGGAUGAGUAUAUUGUUGAAUGCCAACACAUAGUUCUGUUUUCCUUCACAGAGACAAUAUACAUGGGGAAUCAUCCCCAAAUAGAAAGAUGAGUUGCAUGCUGAA